UUGCAUACCAGACGAAGCAAGUGACAGUUUAGAUCAUAUCAUAUAAAAUCAUGAGUGCUAAAUGGUUUCAGCAACGUAACACACCAAAUGUUGCAUAAUAAUAACUAAAUAGUAUUGUUUAUUCCAAUGUGAAAAUAAAUUCAGGUUAAAUCUUCUUAGAACAUCAUAACUAGACGACAAACACUGCUAAAUUAGCAUCAUGUAUGCUCAACCACUAUAGGAUACUACAAUAACUUCAACAUAAGUCUACAAAUUCGUUCUCAGCUAUUCAUUAUUCUGAUUAAGUUCUUCAGCAACCUUCUGUUACGUGUCGAAGCCCAUGUCGAGCAUGAAGGCCAAAGACGAGUUAAGCCCAAAGGGAGAUCCAGAAGUCAAAGCCCAGGUGGGAGAUAAUGGGCCAGGAGUCAAAGCUCAGGUGCAAGAUGUGUGAGCAGGGAAUUAGCCAACGUGUUCUAGUCUUUUGAUUUAGCUUUGCUUAAAUAAAGGAAUGGUGGGGAUGCCCACGUUUUCCAGUUAACGUUUACUUCCUAAAAGUUGUUAGGAGUAGCUUUGAAGUUUUCUAAUUGUUUUUCCCUUUAAAUUGUAAUCCUUCGUUAUCAGAAAAUUGCCUCACUAUCUUGCCUUCUUCCUCCUUGCUAUUACUCUAUCUCUCAAAUACUCCUCUAUCUUCUGCAACUAUUGUGAUUAACCUGUUCAACCCAUAGCACCUUCUGACCUCCUAAGUAACAACAAUUCAAUCACAUCCUACUACUUAACAAAGAGCACACAAUUUGAACAAAUAAAAGAUGA
rnacentral:lncRNA from 1 species